rnacentral:rRNA from 1 species
GACGAACGCUGGCGGCGUGCUUAACACAUGCAAGUCGAACGGAAAGGCCCUGCUUUUGUGGGGUGCUCGAGUGGCGAACGGGUGAGUAACACGUGAGUAACCUGCCCUUGACUUUGGGAUAACUUCAGGAAACUGGGGCUAAUACCGGAUAGGAGCUCCUGCUGCAUGGUGGGGGUUGGAAAGUUUCGGCGGUUGGGGAUGGACUCGCGGCUUAUCAGUUUGUUGGUGGGGUAGUGGCUUACCAAGGCUUUGACGGGUAGCCGGCCUGAGAGGGUGACCGGCCACAUUGGGACUGAGAUACGGCCCAGACUCCUACGGGAGGCAGCAGUGGGGAAUAGAGCACAAUGGGCGGAAGCCUGAUGCAGCAACGCCGCGUGCGGGAUGACGGCAUGCGGGUUGUAAACCGCUUUCGCCUGUGACGAAGAGUGAGUGACGGUAAUGUGUAAAGAAGCACCGGCUAACUACGUG